GGGGGAUAAUCAAAACUGCUUGUUUCUAAAAAUAUAUUCUAUUUGUGUUGUUGAUAUGUACAUAUGUACUUCGAUAAAUACAUGUUGUUUAAACUAUUCAUAACUGAAUUAUUCCUUAUAAAAGACGAUAAAAAUCAAUCAAUGAAAUUUAGCCAUUAUCCAAGCUCUUGUUAUUUGUUGUGUUUUGUAUUUUCUGUUACUGGGAUAAAAGAUAAACAGAACGUCCAUGGAAAUCUGACGAAGACCUUUACUUACUUGAAAAUCUCUAAAGGUUUGGGGGAUUUUCAAGAUUUAAAUAUUGAUUUACGUAAGUUGUAAAUAUUUUUUCAACGAAAGUUUCUUUUUUCUUCUUCUUCCUUUUGAACAAUUAUAAUAAGCCCGAUCGUAAAGUCGUCUUGUUUUCUUAAUAACGUUUUCGCUCCAUUUUAUUUUGUACAACAUGUAUUCAUAUGACAGUAGUGAAGCCUUGUUGACCCUUAAGAAGAAGAGUUACUUCAUCAUUGAAAUUAAACAAGAAACAUAAUAUAAAAAAGAAGAUGUGGUAUGAUUGCCAAUGAGACAACUAUCCAUAAAAGACCAAAAUGACACAGACAUUAACAACUAUAGGUCACCGUUCGGCCUUCAGCAAUGAGCAAAGCCCAUACCGCAUAGUCAGCUAUAAAUGGCCCCGAUAAAACAAUGUAAAACACGUUACAAAAACUGGCAUUAAAUUUCAAAUUUACCGAAAAAAAAUUGAUCCGUAUAAACUUGUUAUUUAAUCUAAAUUAAAUUUCAGUUAAAUCGUCUGAUAUUAGUAGUUUCGAUAAAAAAUAAACGUAU
rnacentral:lncRNA from 1 species